rnacentral:rRNA from 1 species
UCGUAACAAGGUUUCCGUAGGUGAACCUGCGGAAGGAUCAUUGUCGAGAGAGCAUCGAAUGAUGGAUGAUUGCGAACGUGUCAACGUGCUCCUUUCCUUGCCUCAUGUUGCUGGGCAAUCGAUCGUAGCUCGGUGCGAUCGGCACCAAGGAACAAUGAACUCAGAAGCAGAGGGCCCUCGGCGUGCAUGGGGAGCCCAAUGCAUCGAAGAUGCCUCAGAAUCAAAUGACUCUCGGCAAUGGAUAUCUCGGCUCUUGCAUCGAUGAAGAACGUAGUGAAAUGCGAUACUUGGUGUGAAUUGCAGAAUCUCGUGAACCAUUGAGUCUUUGAACGCAAGUUGUGCCCGAGGCCUUGUGGUCGAGGGCACGCCUGCUUGGGCGUCAUGGCAUCGUCGCCUUUGCUCCUUGCUUUGCCGCCGGUGCUAAGCGCGGAAAUUGGCCUUGUGUGCCCUCGCCCGAGGGCACAGUCGGUCGAAGAGUGGGUAGUCGAUAGUCGUCGGGCGCGAUGGGUGUUGGUCGCCUCGUGCGUGAACUAAACGUCAUCCCCGUCGUGCUGAGAUGAGUCCUCAUGAGACCUUUUGCGAUUGCGAUGUCAAGCGAAAGCGAUGUCGGUCGGAUUGUGGCCCCAAGUCAGGCGAGGCCCACCCGCUGA